rnacentral:rRNA from 1 species
AUGGCCGAAUGCUUCAAUAGGGUGCUCAAAGGUGCACGUGGAUUACCCGUGACGGCAAUAGUUCAAUACACAUUUGACAAGGUGAAUGCGUACUUUGUAAAGUACUCGAUGGAAACCGAUGCACAGAUAGCGGGUGAGAACCCACGGAAGUACAAGUACAAGUUCCCACCCAAAGUUGAUGAAUGGUUGGUAUCUCAAUCACGGAAGGCGGACUCAGAAGAAGCUAUAUUAUAUGACAAUGAAGAGUGGAAGUACGAAGUGAAAGAGCCAGGAGGAACCACAAACGAUGGCCGGCAACAUGGAGGUCGGGCUUUCAAGGUGUUGUUAACACAAUGUGAUUGCACUUGCGGGAGGCCAUUGUUGCUUCAUCUCCCAUGCUCACACUUGUAUACCGCCGGUCGCGUUAGGAAUGUGGACAUCAAUCACCCACGCACCGUGAGGGAGUCGGAGUUCUCAAUCAUGACGGUCAAGAAAACAUGGGCUCCCCGCUUUCACCCAUACUUUGACCAAUCACAAUGGCCGGAGUAUCAUGGAGUUCAACUAUGGCCGGAUCCG